rnacentral:rRNA from 1 species
AUUGAACGCUGGCGGAAUGCUUUACACAUGCAAGUCGAACGGCAGCACGGACUUCGGUCUGGUGGCGAGUGGCGAACGGGUGAGUAAUGUAUCGGAACGUGCCCGGUCGUGGGGGAUAACGUAGUGAAAAUUACGCUAAUACCGCAUACGAUCUAUGGAUGAAAGCGGGGGAUCGCAAGACCUCGCGCGAUUGGAGCGGCCGAUAUCAGAUUAGGUAGUUGGUGGGGUAAAGGCCCACCAAGCCAACGAUCUGUAGCUGGUCUGAGAGGACGACCAGCCACACUGGAACUGAGACACGGUCCAGACUCCUACGGGAGGCAGCCGUGGGGAAUUUUGGACAAUGGGCGAAAGCCUGAUCCAGCCAUUCCGCGUGCAGGAUGAAGGCCCUCGGGUUGUAAACUGCUUUUGUACAGAACGAAAAGGUUUCUACUAAUACUAGGAGCUCAUGACGGUACUGUAAGAAUAAGCACCGGCUAACUACGUGCCAGCCGCCACAGUAA